AGGGGCGGUAAGCAUAAAGAUUCUGGACAACAUAUAAGAGUUGGCUUUGAAACAAGAGUGCAAUUGAAAAGAACGAUGAAAGCAAAAUAUUUUGUUCUCUUCUUGUUUAUCGCGGGCCUACUUUUAACUGUGAUGUCCUUGUCUCAAGUUAACCCGCAAGCUCCCAUGGGUAGGAAGAGGAGGGUACUCCAGAUGAAGCAAGAUAUGUGCCGUGCAGUGAGGAAUCUUCGUUGCGAUGUGUUGGAAGACGAGGAGGAUAUAAACAGGAGGCUUGACUACUCAGCCAUAUAGCAGUCGUUUAAAGAACACUAAAACUGGCGUAAAAUCAGAGUGUUUUUUUGUUCUUUUUUGAGUGUCACUCAAAAAAAAAAACUAAAUACGAAAUGUGUCACGAUAUGUUACAAAAAUGCCAAUAUUUAAGCUAAGGGGCUCAAAAUUGAAGUUAUACGAAGGUGAAAAUAAGAUAUGUUUUUGAUUACCAAUUGGGGUACUUGAAAUAAAGAAUUGUAAAAGAAA